GGUGUGUCCAAUGGUAGUGGGUUAUCAGAACUUAUUAACAUUAGUGUCACUAAAGUAUACAACCCUCCACUGCUAAAUUUGGCUAAA
rnacentral:sRNA from 1 species